AGAAGAGCCAAAAGAGGCUGAUCUAAAGCUGUUAAAUGCUGAAGAACUUAGCAAACUAAAAGCCUUCCUAAGAACUUUCCAAGAUGGAGCUUCAUGCUCCACUGAUCAGCAAGGUAUAUCUCUAACCAAUUGUUCUUUUUCAGCUUCUAAAAUUGAUAGGGAUAACAUGUGGAUCCUUGAUUCGGGAGCCACAGAUCACAUGACACCUAAUCCCAAUUUUUUUGAGACCUAUGAGCCCCUUACCACUGCCAAACAAAUCACCAUUGCAAAUGGUGUAUCAGUCCCUAUUACCGGAACAGGUACCAUUCACAUCAGCCCUUCUUUAACCCUUAGUCAUGCUCUUUAUGUCCCAAAUUUGACUACCAAUCUGAUUUCUAUUCAUCAAUUAACCAAAGAUCUAAACUGCUAUGUUGUUUUUUCUUCUCAUUUGUGCAAGUUUCAGGCCAAGGACACGGGGAAGAUGAUUGGUGUGGCUAAAGAGUGUAAUGGGUUGUACAUUUUGCAAGCGGAGAAUCCUAACACAAUAAGAAGAAGGCUUGGGAUGGCAUAUUCCACUGAAACCUCCACUGAUUUCUCCUCAAUUUGGCUCCACCAUCUUAGAUUAGGCCAUUCUCCUUUCAUUUUAUUAAAGAACAUGUUCCCUAGUUUGUUUAGAAACCUAGAGCCUAGUGAUUUUCAAUGUGAUGUGUGUGUUAUGGCAAAGCACCAUCGAGUGCCUUACCCUAUCAGCAAUAAAUUAUCUUCUAAACCAUUCUUCUUAGUCCAUUCGGAUGUUUGGGGACCAUCUAAAAUUUCAAACUCUUUGGGAGCUAGGUGGUUCAUCACAUCAUUGAUGAAUGCACUAGAAUGUGUUGGGUGUACCUUUUAAAAGACAAAUCUGCCAUUGGGUUUACUUUACAACACUUCUGCAAAAUGAUUCUCACUCAAUUUGGCACAUCUAUUCAACAAUUCCGGACUGAUAAUGCAAAGGAUUAUUUUAACAAUCCCUUGCAUCUAUUUUUCCAAAAAGAAGGCAUUAUUCAUGAAUCAUCUUGUGCGGACACCCCCUAACAAAAUGGAGUGGUCGAGAGAAGGAUGAGACACCUUCUGAAUGUCACCCGCACGCUUCUUCACCAUCAUCAAGUUCCAAAACAGUUUUGGGGGAAGGCAGUGCUAACAACCACUUAUGUGAUAAAUAGAGUGCCAUCUAGGGUCCUAAAACAUCAAAGUCCUCUCCAAAAAUUAGCCUCCUUCUAUCCUGAUUUUUCUUUGCAUUCUCAACUGCCACUUAGAGUCUUCGGGUGUGUGUGUUUUGUUCACAUUCCUAAAUACUACCGGGACAAGUUUGACCCAAGGGCUCAUAGGUGUGUCUUCCUAGGCUAUUCUCCUACUCAAAAGGGUUACAAAUGCUACUAUCCUACCCUAAGGAAGUUCUAUGUGUCUAAGGAUGUUACAUUCCAUGAAAAUGAGUCAUACUUUGCCCCUCUUCAAACCAGCAGUCAGGGGGAGCCUAAUUUCAGCAAAAAUCCAGCCUCUGAAACUUUUGUUCCCUUGAUAGAAACCAGUCCUUUGGAACUUCACUGCCCAUCCAUCAUGAACCAGCCUCUAUUCCCAAUGUCUAGCAGUGACCAUCAACCAGCCCAUGUCAUUUCCCAGCCAUCUCCAAUUCGGUACAAGGAUUCUCCAUUUGUUUACAAAAGACGACAACGCAUCUCUACUCAACAACCUAUCCAAUCAUCAGUCCCUUGUCCAGCACUGGAACCUACAUCAAGUGAAGAUGAUGCUCUAGCAGAGUGCAGUCCAUGCCCCAAACCUACUGACCUUGAUCUCCCUAUUGCUCUCCGGAAGGGAAUUAGAUCCUGUACUCAACAUCCCAUGUCCAAUUAUUUAUCCUAUCAUCGCCUAUCAUCUAGCCACCGAGGAUUUCUCUCUUCAUUGGAUGCUAUUGUUAUCCCAACAUCAGUAGAAGAAGCUCUAAAGAACCCUAAGUGGAAAGAAGCUAUGCUCGAGGAGAUGUUGGCACUUAACAAAAAUCAUACUUGGGAUCUCGUGGCCAAACCCAAAGGUGUUAAGUUGGUUGGUUGUCGGUGGAUAUUUAAUGUGAAAUUCAAAGCUGGUGGUACUCUUGACCGGUACAAGGCAAGGUUGGUUGCCAAGGGCUACACCCAAUCCUAUGGCAUUGAUUACCUUGAAACUUUUGUCCCGGUCGCAAAAAUGACUUCUGUUCGAGUUCUUAUUUCAUUGGCAGCAAUACAUGGGUGGCAACUUCAACAAUUUGAUGUGAAAAAUGCAUUCUUGCAUGGGGAUUUAGAGGAGGAGAUAUAUAUGGAACUAUCUCCUAGUUUUCACCAGAAAGGGGGAGGAAAAGUAUGUAGACUUAAAAAGGCUCUCUAUGGGCUAAAGCAAUCUCCAUGUGCUUGGUUCGGUCGGUUUUCUAAAGCUAUGCUAUCUAUGGGAUAUCAUCAAAGCAGGGGGGAUCAUACUCUCUUUAUCAAGCAUCAUGGUGAUCUGAUGACAGCUUUACUUGUAUAUGUGGAUGAUAUUGUGGUUACUGGCAAUGAUACUGCUGAAUAGGUAAUCUUAAAGCAGAACUUGGCUAACAAAUUUGAAAUUAAAGAACUUGGGGUGCUGAAAUAUUUCUUGGGCAUUGAGGUUGCAUACUCAAAAGAUGGCAUAUUCUUGUCACAAAGAAAGUAUAUUAUGGACUUACUUAUAGAAACAGGGCUUCUAGGAGGAAAAGGAUCUAGCAUACUAGUGGAUCCGAACCUAAAGUUGCAAGUAAAUACCAAAGAUGAUGUGAUAGAUAAAGGGAGGUUUCAACGACCAGGGGGAAGAAAGAACAGAUCUGGAGCAAUACCAGAUCUGGGUAGAUCUGGAGCACAAAAGCUGAAGCUGUCACCAGAGUUCGCCUGAGGAUGGUCGGAUUUAGACAGGCACGGCGAAGGCGACGGAGAGAUGAUCGGGACAGAGGCGGCGACAGUGAGGGCGAGCUCGAGCGCGGCCGGAUCUGGAGGGCGAGCUCGGGCGCGGGCGUGGUGACGGCGAGGACACAAGUGCGGCGACGGCGAGGGCGCAGGUGCGGCGACGGCGAGGGCUCAGGCGCGGCGACGGAAAAGGCGAGAUCUGGGCGCGGCCGGACCGGAUUUGGAGAAGAGAAGCCGCGAUCUGGAGAAGAAGAGCCGCGAUAAUGAGGGACCAGCGGCCAACGAAGAGACCCGCGGUGAUGACGACGGCGGGCGAAGCGACCAGCGGUGGUGGCGUCGGCUGACAGCGGCGGCGGCUAGGGUUAGGUUAGGGUUUAGGGCUCUGAUACCAUGUUAGAUGUAUACAAAGGAACUGUUUGUAUAUGUGUCAAGAGUACAACAUAAGCAUAUAUAUACAUACAUUUACUUAAAGAUAAAUGCACUAAUACCGCCUUACUUAUCUUAUUUAACACCUGUUUUUGGACAUUGUUGCUUGCCGCUGCAACUUCACCACUCAAGGUUGUUGCUUGCAUAAGGUAUAUGCCAUUCUGCAGCACUGCCUUCAUGUAUACUAGGGAUCCCUUUGAUAUUUUCAAUACUGUACCCUUGUCCUUAAAUUUAAGGCCAUUCCUAUCCAACUCACCAAGAGAAAUUAAGUUUCUCUUGAGUUCUGGAACGUGCCUCACUACAACAAGGGUUCUAUAUGAUCCAUCAUGCAUUUUCAGCCUUACAUCACCAAUCCCUAAUACUUUACACUCAUGGUCAUUGCCUAGCCAGACCUUUCCCCCAUUUAUUUCUUGAUAAUUAAGCAACCAAUGCUUCUUAGAGGUCAUGUGGUAAGAGCAACUAGAGUCCAUAACCCAAUCAAUAGACUCGGCUCUUUUUAAAACUACCAAUGCAUUAGCACUGUCAUACCCAAAUUCACACACAUUUACACCCCAUCAGCAUUCUCCUUAUCGAGAAAGUCCUUUUUCUUGGGGUAGUGUCUCUUAAUGUGGCCUUUUUCAUGACAAUGGUAACAUCUUAUAGGAUUCUUUCCUGUCCUAGACCUCGACCUAAAUUUUCCCCUACCUCUAGGCUCUCUCUUAAAGCUUCUAGAUAUUAUCGUGUUGUAGGCCUUCUUGAGGAUAUCCUUCCUCUGUUCUUCCGUGUAGAUUUUGGGCAUUUUAGAUUCUCCUUCCAGUGCCUCCGCAAGGCCAAGAUUGCCGAGGAGACCACUUAUCUUCAUCUUCCAGAGGGAAAAUUCGUUUUACCCAUUGAACUUCUCAAUGUCAUGCCUUGAGACGGAUGAAGAAGAAGCCAUGAUCAACUGCCCUUAUCAAUUCCCUUUUUGAGCCCCUCAAAGUUUAUGGAAUUCGCAAGGAAAUUAUUGGAAUCUCUGCUGGCUACCAUCACUCAGCUGCAA